AUGGCCUGGACGGUGCUUCUGCUCGGGCUGCUGGGUUACGGACCAUGGGUGGAUGCUCAGACUGUGGUCCAGGAACCGUCACUGUCAGUGUCUCCAGGAGGGACGGUCACCCUGAUCUGUGGCCUCAGCUCUGGGUCAGUCACUACCAGUAACUACCCAGGCUGGUACCAGCAGACCCCAGCCCAGGCUUCCCAACUGCUUAUCUACAGCACAAACAGCCAAUAUUCUGGGGUCCCUGAUCGCUUCUCUGGCUCCUACUCUGGGAACAAAGCCGCCCUCACCAUCACGGGGGCCCAUUCUGAGGACGAUGCCGACUAUUACUGUGGUCUGGGAACUAGUAGUUACAAUAUCGUGGUGAUGUAA